rnacentral:lncRNA from 1 species
UGAUCAGUCCAUUGCUAGAAGAGGUAACCGAUACUACAAAAUAAUAAACAUAUUCAGGAGUAUGAGCUGUAUCUAACUUUUGAUUUUUUUUUCUGACGAAUAGCAUGUCUUAAUAAGGAGUCCUAUCCUGUUCAUGGUGGUUCUGCACCUCCUACCAUGAGAGUCCGUUCUUUGCUUGGUUCACAAUAUAGCCACAAGAAGAGUGCAGCACAGUCAGCAUCUGGGCAACCAUCAGCAGCUGUAGAAUCAAGCUCGGCUACUUCUUGCCAAUCUACUGGUUUAGCUGAUUCGGAUGUAGAAGCAACUCUCUCACAGAAUAUGUCUUCUAUGUUUUAUGAUGCUUCCAUAUACAUGAAAAAGGACGACAAUGAGGCUCCUGCACCAC